rnacentral:rRNA from 1 species
UGGGGAAUAUCGCACAAUGGGCGCAAGCCUGAUGCAGCCAUGCCGCGUGUAUGAAGAAGGCCUUCGGGUUGUAAAGUACUUUCAGCGGGGAGGAAGGCGAUAAGGUUAAUAACCUUGUCGAUUGACGUUACCCGCAGAAGAAGCACCGGCUAACUCCGUGCCAGCAGCCGCGGUAAUACGGAGGGUGCAAGCGUUAAUCGGAAUUACUGGGCGUAAAGCGCACGCAGGCGGUCUGUCAAGUCGGAUGUGAAAUCCCCGGGCUCAACCUGGGAACUGCAUUCGAAACUGGCAGGCUAGAGUCUUGUAGAGGGGGGUAGAAUUCCAGGUGUAGCGGUGAAAUGCGUAGAGAUCUGGAGGAAUACCGGUGGCGAAGGCGGCCCCCUGGACAAAGACUGACGCUCAGGUGCGAAAGCGUGGGGAGCAAACA